rnacentral:rRNA from 1 species
UACGUAGGUGGCAAGCGUUGUCCGGAUUUAUUGGGUUUAAAGGGUGCGUAGGCGGUCUAUUAAGUCAGUGCUGAAAUAUCCCGGCUUAACCGGGAGGGUGGCAUUGAUACUGAUGGACUUGAGUAAAGUUGAGGUUGGCGGAAUUGACGGUGUAGCGGUGAAAUGCUUAGAUAUCGUCAAGAACACCUAUUGCGAAGGCAGCUAACUAGCUAAACUGACGCUGAGGCACGAAGGUCAGGGGAGCAAACGGG